rnacentral:rRNA from 1 species
GAUGAACGCUGGCGGCGUGCCUAAUACAUGCAAGUCGAGCGAACGGACGAGAAGCUUGCUUCUCUGAUGUUAGCGGCGGACGGGUGAGUAACACGUGGAUAACCUACCUAUAAGACUGGGAUAACUUCGGGAAACCGGAGCUAAUACCGGAUAAUAUUUUGAACCGCAUGGUUCAAAAGUGAAAGACGGUCUUGCUGUCACUUAUAGAUGGAUCCGCGCUGCAUUAGCUAGUUGGUAAGGUAACGGCUUACCAAGGCAACGAUGCAUAGCCGACCUGAGAGGGUGACCGGCCACACUGGAACUGAGACACGGUCCAGACUCCUACGGGAGGCAGCAGUAGGGAAUCUUCCGCAAUGGGCGAAAGCCUGACGGAGCAACGCCGCGUGAGUGAUGAAGGUCUUCGGAUCGUAAAACUCUGUUAUUAGGGAAGAACAUAUGUGUAAGUAACUGUGCACAUCUUGACGGUACCUAAUCAGAAAGCCACGGCUAACUACGUGCCAGCAGCCGCGGUAAUACGUAGGUGGCAAGCGUUAUCCGGAAUUUAUGGGCGUAAAGCGCGCGUAGGCGGUUUUUUAAGUCUGAUGUGAAAGCCCACGGCUCAACCGUGGAGGGUCAUUGGAAACUGGAAAACUUGAGUGCAGAAGAAGGAAAGUGGAAUUCCAUGUGUAGCGGUGAAAUGCGCAGAGAUAUGGAGGAACACCAGUGGCGAAGGCGACUUUCUGGUCUGUAACUGACGCUGAUGUGCGAAAGCGUGGGGAUCAAACAGGAUUAGAUACCCUGGUAGUCCACGCCGUAAACGAUGAGUGCUAAGUGUUAGGGGGUUUCCGCCCCUUAGUGCUGCAGCUAACGCAUUAAGCACUCCGCCUGGGGAGUACGACCGCAAGGUUGAAACUCAAAGGAAUUGACGGGGACCCGCACAAGCGGUGGAGCAUGUGGUUUAAUUCGAAGCAACUCGAAGAACCUUACCAAAUCUUGACAUCCUUUGACAACUCUAGAGAUAGAGCUUUCCCCUUCGGGGGACAAAGUGACAGGUGGUGCAUGGUUGCCGUCAGCUCGUGUCGUGAGAUGUUGGGUUAAGUCCCGCAACGAGCGCAACCCUUAAGCUUAGUUGCCAUCAUUAAGUUGGGCACUCUAAGUUGACUGCCGGUGACAAACCGGAGGAAGGUGGGGAUGACGUCAAAUCAUCAUGCCCCUUAUGAUUUGGGCUACACACGUGCUACAAUGGACAAUACAAAGGGCAGCGAAACCGUGAGGUCAAGCAAAUCCCAUAAAGUUGUUCUCAGUUCGGAUUGUAGUCUGCAACUCGACUACAUGAAGCUGGAAUCGCUAGUAAUCGUAGAUCAGCAUGCUACGGUGAAUACGUUCCCGGGUCU